rnacentral:rRNA from 1 species
AGUGAACGCUGGCGGUAGGCCUAACACAUGCAAGUCGAACGGCAGCACAGUAAGAGCUUGCUCUUACGGGUGGCGAGUGGCGGACGGGUGAGGAAUACAUCGGAAUCUACUUUUUCGUGGGGGAUAACGUAGGGAAACUUACGCUCAUACCGCAUACGACCUACGGGUGAAAGCAGGGGAUCUUCGGACCUUGCGCGAUUGAAUGAGCCGAUGUCGGAUUAGCUAGUUGGCGGGGUAAAGGCCCACCAAGGCGACGAUCCGUAGCUGGUCUGAGAGGAUGAUCAGCCACACUGGAACGUAGCCACGGUCCAGACUCCUACGGGAGGCAGCAGUGGGGAAUAUUGGACAAUGGGGGCAAGCCUGAUCCAGUCAUACCGCGUGGGUGAAGAAGGCCUUCGGGUUGUAAAGCCCUUUUGUUGGGAAAGAAAAGCAGCAGGUUAAGACCCCGCUGUUCUGACGGUACCCAAAGAAGAAGCACCGGCUAACUUCGUG